rnacentral:misc_RNA from 1 species
GAUGAAGAACGUAGCGAAAUGCGAUAAGUAAUGUGAAUUGCAGAAUUCAGUGAAUCAUCGAAUCUUUGAACGCACAUUGCGCCCCUUGGUAUUCCGAGGGGCAUGCCUGUUCGAGCGUCAUUAUAACCCUUCAAGCUCAGCUUGGUGUUGGGGCCUGCUGUAACUGGUAGCCCUUAAAAUCAGUGGCAGUGCUAUUAGGCUCUAAGCGUAGUAAUUCUUCUCGCUAUAGUGUGUAGUGAGCGCUUGCCAGAACCCCAAACUUUUAUAUGAUUGACCUCGGAUCAGGUAGGGAUACCCGCUGAACUUAAGCAUUCAAUAAGCGGAGGA